rnacentral:rRNA from 1 species
CCCUUAGAUGUUCUGGGCUGCACGCGCGCUACACUGACACACCCAGCGAGUCUCCUGCCCUGACAGGGUUGGGUAAUCAUUGGAGUGUGUGUCGUGAUGGGGAUAGAGUAUUGCAAUUAUUGCUCUCGAACGAGGAAUUCCUAGUAAGCACAAGUCAGCAGCUUGUGCUGAUUACGUCCCUGCCCUUUGUACACACCGCCCGUCGCUCCUACCGAGGGGGUGAUCCGGUGAAUGAUUCGGACUUUGGCGUUUCUAGCUGCUAGCAGCGCUGAAGAAAGUUUCGUGAACCUUAUCACUUGGAGGAAGGAGAAGUCGUAACA